rnacentral:rRNA from 1 species
AUUGAACGCUGGCGGCAUGCUCUACACAUGCAAGUCGAACGGUAACAGGCCGCAAGGUGCUGACGAGUGGCGAACGGAUGAGUAAUGCAUCGGAACGUGCCCAGUCGUGGGGGAUAACGCAGCGAAAGCUGCGCUAAUACCGCAUACGAUCUAUGGAUGAAAGCGGGGGACCGUAAGGCCUCGCGCGAUUGGAGCGGCCGAUGUCAGAUUAGGUAGUUGGUGGGGUAAAGGCUCACCAAGCCAACGAUCUGUAGCUGGUCUGAGAGGACGACCAGCCACACUGGGACUGAGACACGGCCCAGACUCCUACGGGAGGCAGCAGUGGGGAAUUUUGGACAAUGGGCGCAAGCCUGAUCCAGCAAUGCCGCGUGCAGGAAGAAGGCCUUCGGGUUGUAAACUGCUUUUGUACGGAACGAAACGGUCCUGGUUAAUACCCGGGGCUAAUGACGGUACCGUAAGAAUAAGCACCGGCUAACUACGUGCCAGCCGCCGCAGUAAGAC